AGAGUUUGAUCCUGGCUCAGAACGAACGCUGGCGGCGUGGAUAAGACAUGCAAGUCGAACGCUGAUUAGGGGGUAGCAAUAUUCCCUAGUCGGAGUGGCGCAAGGGUGCGUAACACGUGGGUAAUCUGCCGUGAAGCUUGGGAUAACUCGCUGAAAGGCGAGCUAAUACCGGAUGUGAUGAUUGGUCGGCAUCGAUUGAUCAUUAAAGCUGGGGACCGCAAGGCCUGGCACUUCACGAUGAGCCCGCGGCCUAUCAGCUAGUUGGUGAGGUAACGGCCCACCAAGGCUAAGACGGGUAGCUGGUCUGAGAGGACGACCAGCCACACUGGAACUGAGACACGGUCCAGACACCUACGGGUGGCAGCAGUCGAGAAUUUUUUCACAAUGGGCGCAAGCCUUUGAAUGGAGCGACGCCGUCGGUGGGGGGAUUGAAGGGUUUCUGUUAUUCCGCUAAAACCCCGUGUCAUAUU
rnacentral:rRNA from 1 species